CGGCAUCAUCAGAUACUUCUCAGAUCCAUCUCCCUGUUGCAGACGACAAUGAGCGUGCCAAUAUUUAUACUCCUGUUCGUCAACAUGGCUAACCUGUGUGCAAAUCUAUUUAUUGCUGCCGUGCUGUUCCAGAGAGACGGAAACGUUUCAAAAGCACUGAAAGCGGUUAUGACGAUACCUCCCGUCCUCUACGAAACUGGAAUGUACUGCGUAUUUGGCCACGUCUUAACCGAUAAGAGCGAGAAGCUGAUGCA